rnacentral:rRNA from 1 species
GAUCCUGGCUCAGGAUGAACGCUGGCGGCGUGCUUAACACAUGCAAGUCGAACGAAGCACUUUAUUUGAUUUCCUUCGGGACUGAUUAUUUUGUGACUGAGUGGCGGACGGGUGAGUAACGCGUGGGUAACCUGCCUUGUACUAGGGGGAUAACAGUUGGAAACGGCUGCUAAUACCGCAUAAGCGCACAGCAUCGCAUGAUGCAGUGUGAAAAAUUCCGGUGGUAUAAGAUGGACCCGCGG